AACGAACGCUGGCGGCAGGCUUAACACAUGCAAGUCGUACGCACCGCAAGGUGAGUGGCAGACGGGUGAGUAACGCGUGGGAACCUACCCCUUGGUACGGGAUAGCUCCGGGAAACUGGAGAUAAUACCGUAUGUGACGUGAGGGUCAAAGAUUCAUCGCCAAGGGAUGUGCCCGCGUCGGAUUAGCUAGUUGGUGGGGUAACGGCCUACCAAGGCGACGAUCCGUAGCUGGUCUAAGAGGAUGGUCAGCCACAUUUGGAGUGAGACACGGCCCACACUCCUACUGGAGGCAGCAGUGGGGAAUAUUGGACAAUGGGCGAAAGCCUGAUCCAGCCAUGCCGCGUGAGUGAUGAAGGCCCUAGGGUUGUAAAGCUCUUUCACCGGGGAUGAUAAUGACGGUACCCGGAGAAGAAGCCCCGGCUAACUUCGUGCCAGCCGCCGCCGUAA
rnacentral:rRNA from 1 species